rnacentral:rRNA from 1 species
AUUGAACGCUGGCGGCGUGCCUAAUACAUUCAAGUCGAACGGAGUGGCGCACGUGUGAGUAAUGUAUAGCUAAUCUGCCCUACACUAAAGGCCAACCGUUGGAAACGGCUGCUAAUACUCUAUAGUGUAGGAUGAGGCUAUAUUGUAUCAGCUAGUUGGUGAGGUAAUGCCUCACCAAGCGUAUGACGCAUAACGGGUCUGAGAGGAUGAUCAGUCACACUGGAACUGAGACACGGGCCAGACUCCUACGGGAGGCAGCAGUAGGGAAUAAUGCUCAAUGGGGGAAACCCUGAAGCAGAAACGGCGCGUGGAGGAUGACACUUUUCGGAGCGUAAACUCCUUUUGUUAGGGAAGAGGUACCUAACGAGUAAGCACCGGAUAACUCCGUGCCAGCAGCCGCGGUAAUUC